rnacentral:rRNA from 1 species
GACGAACGCUGGCGGCGUGCUUAACACAUGCAAGUCGAACGGAAAGGCCCUGCUUUUGUGGGGUGCUCGAGUGGCGAACGGGUGAGUAACACGUGAGUAACCUGCCCUUGACUUUGGGAUAACUUCAGGAAACUGGGGCUAAUACCGGAUAGGAGCUCCUGCUGCAUGGUGGGGGUUGGAAAGUUUCGGCGGUUGGGGACGGACUCGCGGCUUAUCAGCUUGUUGGUGGGGUAGUGGCUUACCAAGGCUUUGACGGGUAGCCGGCCUGAGAGGGUGACCGGCCACAUUGGGACUGAGAUACGGCCCAGACUCCUACGGGAGGCAGCAGUGGGGAAUAUUGCACAAUGGGCGGAAGCCUGAUGCAGCAACGCCGCGUGCGGGAUGACGGCCUUCGGGUUGUAAACCGCUUUCGCCUGUGACGAAGCGUGAGUGACGGUAAUGGGGAAAGAAGCACCGGCUAACUACGU